GCUCAGAUUGAACGCUGGCGGCAGGCCUAACACAUGCAAGUCGAACGGUAGCACAGAGAGCUUGCUCUCGGGUGACGAGUGGCGGACGGGUGAGUAAUGUCUGGGAAACUGCCUGAUGGAGGGGGAUAACUACUGGAAACGGUAGCUAAUACCGCAUAACGUCGCAAGACCAAAGAGGGGGACCUUCGGGCCUCUUGCCAUCAGAUGUGCCCAGAUGGGAUUAGCUAGUAGGUGGGGUAACGGCUCACCUAGGCGACGAUCCCUAGCUGGUCUGAGAGGAUGACCAGCCACACUGGAACUGAGACACGGUCCAGACUCCUACGGGAGGCAGCAGUGGGGAAUAUUGCACAAUGGGCGCAAGCCUGAUGCAGCCAUGCCGCGUGUAUGAAGAAGGCCUUCGGGUUGUAAAGUACUUUCAGCGGGGAGGAAGGUGUUGUGGUUAAUAACCGCAGCAAUGACGUACCC
rnacentral:rRNA from 1 species